rnacentral:lncRNA from 1 species
CAGGAAGUCACCUUGAAGAGGAAGAAGAAGAGAUCUUUUCCAUUUAGGCAAAUAAUAUGCAUCUCAUGUCUCUCAUCAUCAAUUGUUUCUAUUCAAACAAAUUUUCCUUCAGAAGUUGAUUUUUAAAAGUUCUGAUAUCUUGGACAAAAUUUACUGGGAAAACUUGACCAAUCCUUUCAAGUUGGGCAGUGAUAAUGAGUGGUAAUGAAAAUUGACAUCAUACCCAAACCUAACCAGCACACACUUAUUUUGACAGUCACAGGCAUUGGCAAGAUCAAUUUUAAUCUCAUGAAUAAUGGGAGCAAUUGCUAAAAGCCUUUACAAAUGCUAUCCAGACUGUAGCAGACAUGUCCAUGAUUAAACAGUUUGGUGUUGGAGUCUAUUAUGUUAUUGUGAUGAUUGACAACAAUUACAAUGAACAGCCAGUUUGAGAAGCAAAAAGGAAAUGGUUGCAAAUCAUUCAUAAUAAUAAGCUAUUCCAUAACCCUCUAUUUGGAGAAUGAAUGAGAGGUAAGUAAUGAUGAGACAGAGACUCAGAUAAUUGGGAAAUCAGAAGAUGUGAGUUAAUAAAUUAAAGAUGUGGAAUCAAAUGAGGAGAUAACAGUGGCAAAGAUUAAGUAGAAAUACAUUGAUCAGGAAUAAUUGAACAAUAUCAAGCCCAUCUGAAAGAUAAAUCUUGCCAUUUCUAAAGGGACAUGACAAAUUCUUUAAGAACAUCAAACUCUGUCACAUGUUCACUAUGAGCACCUGUGAUGAUCUGAUACCCAAAUACCUAAACUUUAUCUGUGAUAUAAGUCAGUCUGAAGACCUACUUCUGAACACCCCCUAAGAGCUGUUCCAGCAGAGCAAGAACUUGAAAGUCACCCUAAUAACACUGUGAAGAAGUAUCUUGUGGUUCUUUUGGAGUUGGUGGAACAACAAAAAAAAAUUCUAUAAAGUGUUCUCCAAGAAUCUAAAGCUUGGAAUCCCUGAAAAUUCCAAGUGAUGCAUCUUUAUGAUGCAUCUCUCUGAGUUUCUGCACUGUCACACCUGUCAAUCUAGUGAUGAGAUGUCAGAGUAUGUGUCUCACAUAAAUAGACACAGAAUCCUUCUCUUUAUUACUGGUGAGAGAAAAGAGCAGGAGGCUAACUCUACCCUUAUGAAGUAUUUGCAGAAGAGGAGCUUUGAGGUGCUGUAAAUGACUGAGAAUAUUGAUGAGUAAUCAGUUCAACAAUUCACAGUGUUUAAGAAAAAGUAUUGACAGCGAUUAAGUAGGGAAUACAGUUAACAGGGGAAUGAUAUAGGAAGAAACAAAAUGGGAGGAGAGUAAGGCAAAGUUUGAGAAUCACUGUAUGCUCCUAAAGGAACAUUGUAUAAGAAGACUAAAUAGGAGACAAUAUCCAAAAGGCUUGCAUCUUCAUUAUGGUGCAGUAUAAUUAGUACCUAUGCCUGGGCAGCCAGCACUAAGCAGAUUAUGAAGGCUCAGUGACUUCAAGAAUAAGAUACAUUGCAUGAUGGCCAAAAGAGAUCUAAUGAUCAAUGCUUACAACUCCACCAAGGAACACCUGCAGCAGACAAUUGAGGGAGUCAAAUAUAGAUAAGCUGUCAAUUAUCUGACAGUGCUGUUGUUUAAAACGGUUCUUCUACACUAUGACUUUUCCAUUGAAGAUCAACAGACCUACUCCAACUGCUUCUUUUGCAUUAUCAAACUAGAAGUAUGGAUUGGUGAGGAUAAGGGGAAAACAACAGAGCCUGCAUGUGUUCCUGAUGGAAUUUCCCAACAAAACACUAAUGGGGAUAGAUCUCACAUAGAAGAACUAGAUUAG